AUGAACGCUAGCGACAGGCUUAACACAUGCAAGUCGAGGGGCAGCACAGGUAGCAAUACCGGGUGGCGACCGGCGCACGGGUGAGUAACGCGUAUGCAACUUGCCUAUCAGAGGGGGAUAACCCGGCGAAAGUCGGACUAAUACCGCAUGAAGCAGGGGCCCCGCAUGGGGAUAUUUGCUAAAGAUUCAUCGCUGAUAGAUAGGCAUGCGUUCCAUUAGGCAGUUGGCGGGGUAACGGCCCACCAAACCGACGAUGGAUAGGGGUUCUGAGAGGAAGGUCCCCCACAUUGGUACUGAGACACGGACCAAACUCCUACGGGAGGCAGCAGUGAGGAAUAUUGGUCAAUGGGCGUAAGCCUGAACCAGCCAAGUCGCGUGAGGGAUGAAGGUUCUAUGGAUCGUAAACCUCUUUUAUAAGGGAAUAAAGUGCGGGACGUGUCCCGUUUUGUAUGUACCUUAUGAAUAAGGAUCGGCUAACUCCGUGCCAGCAGCCGCGGUAAUACGGAGGAUCCGAGCGUUAUCCGGAUUUAUUGGGUUUAAAGGGUGCGUAGGCGGCCUUUUAAGUCAGCGGUGAAAGUCUGUGGCUCAACCAUAGAAUUGCCGUUGAAACUGGGGGGCUUGAGUAUGUUUGAGGCAGGCGGAAUGCGUGGUGUAGCGGUGAAAUGCAUAGAUAUCACGCAGAACCCCGAUUGCGAAGGCAGCCUGCCAAGCCAUUACUGACGCUGAUGCACGAAAGCGUGGGGAUCAAACAGGAUUAGAUACCCUGGUAGUCCACGCAGUAAACGAUGAUCACUAGCUGUUUGCGAUACACUGUAAGCGGCACAGCGAAAGCGUUAAGUGAUCCACCUGGGGAGUACGCCGGCAACGGUGAAACUCAAAGGAAUUGACGGGGGCCCGCACAAGCGGAGGAACAUGUGGUUUAAUUCGAUGAUACGCGAGGAACCUUACCCGGGUUUGAACGCAUUCGGACCGAGGUGGAAACACCUUUUCUAGCAAUAGCCGUUUGCGAGGUGCUGCAUGGUUGUCGUCGGCUCGUGCCGUGAGGUGUCGGCUUAAGUGCCAUAACGAGCGCAACCCUUGCCACUAGUUACUAACAGGUGAUGCUGAGGACUCUGGUGGGACUGCCAGCGUAAGCUGCGAGGAAGGCGGGGAUGACGUCAAAUCAGCACGGCCCUUACAUCCGGGGCGACACACGUGUUACAAUGGCGUGGACAAAGGGAGGCCACCUGGCGACAGGGAGCGAAUCCCCAAACCACGUCUCAGUUCGGAUCGGAGUCUGCAACCCGACUCCGUGAAGCUGGAUUCGCUAGUAAUCGCGCAUCAGCCAUGGCGCGGUGAAUACGUUCCCGGGCCUUGUACACACCGCCCGUCAAGCCAUGGGAGCCGGGGGUACCUGAAGUCCGUAACCGAAAGGAUCGGCCUAGGGUAAAACUGGUGACUGGGGCU
rnacentral:rRNA from 1 species